GCCAGGUGCGGUGGCUAAGCCUGGGGACAUAUGAAGCCGGUGCCGAACAUCAGGGACGUGUUGCGACGAGAGAGUGUGUCGAUGAUAAGAUAUUAAACAGAGUUGGCCAGGUCCCUAAGUCUUGGAUGGCGAGCUGUAGAUAGGCCUCGAGCCUGAGCCCAAGGAUCUCCACCUCUCAACCCCUGAACUCCACCUGCUCUGUUCGGGCCGGUAGGCGGCUUAUAGCCGAACCCCUUGUCUCGCACCUCAUUGCUCUGCGGCCCUUUGCACUACCUCACACACACCCUGCCCAUAAACUGAACUCUCACUACAAACUGCCAUAUCCACAACCCCAACCCGUGUGGCUGUAUGAACUGUGAAUGCGCAUAUGGACUGCGAUCAGUCUCAUAUGACCUUUAUGAACUUUAAGAACUUUUGAUACUACCUGUUAUGAAUUACCUGUACCUUUGCUGUUUUUUUCUUUUGUUUUGAAUGGCCAUUCCUAUCAAUGUCUGUCCACUAUUUGUUGCACUGUACAUAUUUAAAUAACACCAGUAUAAUUUAAAGCAUUUAAUUGUGUCUGUCCUACUAUCUCCGAGUCGUAAUCUAGACUUCUGAUUAGCCCAAAUAUUGAGAACUUCUAAUAUACUAGCUAACAUACCUGUUACAGAAUGUUUAAACAUGUUUAAAGAAUGUGAUUCUUUUAUAAAGCUAUCAAUCUCAUUCCAGA